rnacentral:rRNA from 1 species
UACGGGGGGAGCAAGCGUUGUUCGGAUUUACUGGGCGUAAAGGGCUCGUAGGCGGUUUGUCGCGUCGGGAGUGAAAACGCCGUGCUUAACACGGCGCUUGCUUUCGAUACGGGCAGACUAGAGGUAUGCAGGGGAGAACGGAAUUCCUGGUGUAGCGGUGAAAUGCGCAGAUAUCAGGAGGAACACCGGUGGCGAAGGCGGUUCUCUGGGCAUUACCUGACGCUGAGGAGCGAAAGUGUGGGGAGCGAACAGG